rnacentral:piRNA from 1 species
UGCUCCAGUGUCACGGAUUUGAUUGUGCA